ensembl:snoRNA
GGGGUGUGCUCAGAACAGGGUGCUUGAAGAAUGGCGUCUUGGUUUAUAACGCCUCCAAUGGGAAUUCAGGUUUACUCCUCACAGGUGGCAGGAUACUGUUACCUUCCUGUGACAUUAUGCUCUAUACAU